rnacentral:rRNA from 1 species
AGCGAACGCUGGCGGCAGGCCUAACACAUGCAAGUCGAACGAAGUCUUCGGACUUAGUGGCGGACGGGUGAGUAACACGUGGGAACGUGCCUUUAGGUCCGGAAUAACUCAGGGAAACUUGUGCUAAUACCGCAUGAGCCCUGAGGGGGAAAGAUUUAUCGCCAUGGGAGGGGCCCGCGUCGGAUUAGGUAGUUGGUGAGGUAACGGCUCACCAAGCCUGCGAUCCGUAGCUGGUCUGAGAGGAUGAGCAGCCACACUGGGACUGAGACACGGCCCAGACUCCUACGGGAGGCAGCAGUGGGGAAUAUUGGACAAUGGGGGCAACCCUGAUCCAGCAAUGCCGCGUGAGUGAUGAAGGCCUUCGGGUUGUAAAGCUCUUUCGCACGCGACGAUGAUGACGGUAGCGUGAGAAGAAGCCCCGGCUAACUUCGUGCCAGCCGCCGCGGUAAAAC